AGCAGCCGCGGUAAUUCCAGCUCCAAUAGCGUAUAUUAAAGUUGUUGCAGUUAAAAGCUCGUAGUUGAAUUUCGGAAUCAUCAGGUUGGUCGUGCCUCUGGUAUGUACUGAUUUCGAUGGUUCCUCCUUCUUGAAGAUCCGUAAUGCCAUUAAUUUGGUGUUGCGGGGAAUCAGGACCGUUACUUUGAAAAAUUAGAGUGUUUAAAGCAGGCAAUCGCUUGAAUACAUUAGCAUGGAAUAAUGAAAUAGGACGUUCGAUCCUAUUUUGUUGGUUUCUAAGAUUGACGUAAUGAUUAAUAGGGAUAGUUGGGGGCAUUAGUAUUCAAUUGUCAGAGGUGAAAUUCUUGGAUUUAUUGAAGACUAACUACUGCGAAAGCAUUUGCCAAGG
rnacentral:rRNA from 1 species